GACGAACCGUCCUAACGUUGUUCGGAAUCACUGGGCUUAAAGGGCGCGUAGGCGGCUUGCCAAGUCAGGGGUGAAAUCCUGCAGCUUAACUGUAGAAGGGCCUUUGAUACUGGCGAGCUCGAGGGAGGUAGGGGUAUGUGGAACUUCCGGUGGAGCGGUGAAAUGCGUUGAUAUCGGAAGGAACGCCGGUGGCGAAGGCGGUUCUCUGGGCAUGUCCUGACGCUGAGGAGCGAAAGUGUGGGGAGCGAACAGG
rnacentral:rRNA from 1 species